GCUUACGGCCAUACCUCUCUGGCUCCGCCCGAUCUCGUCUGAUCUCAGAACGCUAAGCAGAGUAGGGCCUGGUUAGUACUUGGAUGGAAGACCGCCUGGGAAUCCCAGGUGCCGUAAGCU
ensembl:rRNA 5S_rRNA 5S ribosomal RNA